AUUGAACGCUGGCGGCAGGCCUAACACAUGCCAGUCGAGCGGAGCGGCGGACGGGUGAGUAAUGCCUAGGAAUCUGCCUGGUAGUGGGGGAUAACGUCCGGAAACGGGCGCUAAUACCGCAUACUAGCAGAUGAGCCUAUGUCGGAUUAGCUAGUUGGUGGGGUAAAGGCCGACCAAGGCGACGAUCCGUAACUGGUCUUAGAGGAUGAUCAGUCACACUGCAACGGAGACACGUUCCAGACUCAUACGGGAGGCAGCAUGGGGGAAUAGUGGACAAUGGGCGAAAGCCUGAUGCAGCCAUGCCGAGUGUGUGAAGAAGGUCUUCGGAUUGUAAAGCACUUUAAGUUGGGAGGCGUUACCAACAGAAUAAGCACCGGCUAACUUCGUGCCAGCAGCCGCGGUAAUAC
rnacentral:rRNA from 1 species